rnacentral:rRNA from 1 species
ACGAUCAGUAGCCCGGUCUGAGAGGAUGAACGGCCACAUUGGGACUGAGACACGGCCCAGACUCCUACGGGAGGCAGCAGUGGGGAAGUCUUCCGCAAUGGACGAAAGUCUGACGGAGCAACGCCGCGUGAGUGAAGACGGUCUUCGGAUUGUAAAGCUCUGUUAUACGGGACGAACGGCAAGGUGGUAAAUAGCCAUCAUGAGUGACGGUACCGUAAGAGAAAGCCACGGCUAACUACGUGCCAGCAGCCGCGGUAAU